AGAGUUUGAUCCUGGCUCAGGAUGAACGCUGGCGGCGUGCCUAACACAUGCAAGUCGAGCGAAGCACUUUGCUUAAAUUCUUCGGAUGAAGAGGAUUGUGACUGAGCGGCGGACGGGUGAGUAACGCGUGGGUAACCUGCCUCAUACAGGGGGAUAACAGUUAGAAAUGACUGCUAAUACCGCAUAAGACCACAGCACCGCAUGGUGCGGGGGUAAAAACUCCGGUGGUAUGAGAUGGACCCGCGUCUGAUUAGCUAGUUGGUAAGGUAACGGCUUACCAAGGCGACGAUCAGUAGGGGUUCUGAGAGGAAGGUCCCCCACAUUGGAACUGAGACACGGUCCAAACUCCUACGGGAGGCAGCA
rnacentral:rRNA from 1 species